AGAAAUAGUUGGCCUAAUAAU
rnacentral:miRNA from 1 species